UAUUAAUUAAAUGUCCGGGAA
rnacentral:piRNA from 1 species